GUAGGUGAACCUGCGGAAGGAUCAUUAACACUUAAAAAACAAAACUUUACCCCUUAUUUCUUCUUUCAAAAACCCUGGGGAGGGACUGACAUGGGGCUUUUACUGCCACUGUCUGGCCUGACUCGCUUUUUUGUUUGAAUGUGUGAACACCUGUGUGGUCUUAUUUCUUUUAUUACGUGACACUAGGCACUUUAGGGGGCGAGUGAGAGUUUGCGCUCUUGUCUCAAGCCUUGACUUGUCUGUGUUUCUC
rnacentral:misc_RNA from 1 species